UUGCUCCUCUUCCCUUCGUUCCGUUGAAUGUUGUUCUGGUUCUUUCUGAUUUUCCUCAACUUCAGUAACCACAGGUUCACCUUUUACUGUUUCUGUAGGCUCAACUUCAGUAGCCACAGGUUCUUCUUUUACCGUUUCUGUAGCUUGAACUUCAGUAGCCACAGGUUCUUCUUUUACCAUUUCUCUAGGAUCAACUUCAGUAACCACAGGUUUGACUUUUACUGAUUCUGUCAGAUCAACUUCAGUAACCAGGGGUUCUUUUACUGUUUUUGUAAUUUCAACUUCUGUAGCCACAGCUUCUUCUUUUACUGUCUCUGUAGGAUCAACUUCAGUAACUAUAGGUUCGUCUUUUACCGUUUCUGUUGCCUCGAAUUCAGUAGCUGCAGGUUCAUCUUUUACCAUUUCUGUAGGCUCAACUACAGUUGUCACAGGUUCUUCUUUUACGGUUUCUGUAGCUUCAACUUCAGUAGCCACAGAUUCUUCUUUUACUGUUUCUGUAGCUUCAACUUCAGUAGCCACUGGUUCUUCUUUUACUGUUUCUGUAGCUUCAACUUCAGUAGCCACUGGUUCUUCUUUUACUGUUUCUGUAGCUUCAACUUCAGUAGCUGCAGGUUCGUCUUUUACCGUUUCUGUAGCCUCAACUUCAGUUGCCACAGGUUCUUCUUUUACCGUUUCUGUAGGCUCAACUUCAGUAGCCACGGGUUCUUCUUUUACUGUUUCUGUAGCUUCAGCUUCAGUAGCUAGAGGUUCUUCUUUUACCGUUUCUGUAGGAUCAACUUCAGUAACCACAGGUUCGUCUUUUACGGUUUCUGUAACCUUAACUUCAGUAGCUGCAGGUUCUUCUUUUACUGUUUCCGUAGCCUCAACUUCAGUAGCCACAAGUUCUUCUUUUAGUGUUUCUGUAGCCUCAACUUCAGUAACCACGGGUUCUUCUUUUACUAUCUCUGCA
rnacentral:lncRNA from 1 species